AAGCUCAGUGAAACAUAAUUCUUUGAAAAGUUUUACAAGUAUCCUAAAAUUUUUAAACUUUGAAUUCAAGAUGAUGAAAAUGAAAGUAUCUGUCUUGUUCCUGACUCUGCUAGUACUGAACUACUCGUUGUUCGUACAUGGAUCUUCAGAUUAUGAAGAAGAAUCAUCUAACUCACCAUGGUUUUAAACCUUAAACGAUAGAGCUUCUGAAAGUAAAAACAUAGAAUGCAUGAUGUAAAA